rnacentral:misc_RNA from 1 species
GAAUAAACUUGGUUUAGGCUGUUGCUGGCUCUUCGGAGCAUGUGCACGUCUAUUCCGACUUUAUACCCACCUGUGCACUUUGUGUAGAUCUGAAUACCUCUCGAGGGUCACUCGGUCAGAGGAACUGCCGUGCAAAAUGCCGGCUUUUCUUCACAUUUCAGGUCUAUGUUUUCAUAUACUCCACAUAAAGUAUCAGAAUGUCACAAUUAGGCACAUGCCUGUAAACAUAUAUACAACUUUCAACAACGGAUCUCUUGGCUCU